GUCUCUACGAUGCAGUGGUAGCACGCGUCCCUGGUAUGGUGGAACGCGGGUUCAACUCCCGUUUGAGGUA